rnacentral:misc_RNA from 1 species
UGCGAGCCACUCAUUCUCUAUCCGCGCCAUCUGUUUCUAAGCAGAAGAUGCGGUACGCUCUGUCAUGCAUCUUUUGCGAAUAGACGUCCUCCAUACCUUUGUUCGCUUGUUCCGCUUGCGUUUUUGUCGAUAUUCUUUGUUCGCCCUCUCUUCCUCCCGAGCGAUGCGUGAUAGUUUCUGUGCAUUUCAGUGUGCCCGCAUCACAUGGGCCUUCUUCUUGUUCGGUGUCUUCUCCAUUAUGCCCUCAUACGCGUGUGUGUGUCUUCGGUGCCGGCAAUGCGUCUCGCCGCGCCUUUGCUCCUCUUGUUCUCCCCUUCCUUCGUUCAAAACGCUUGAGACAAGAUUCGGACGCCAGAUUCAGCGUUCGUGCGCCACCGCACGGACCAUGAACGUUCAGCAUGCGCAUGUGAACGUGGCAUUUUGUUGCGGACACCACGACACCCGUGGACAAGGCUGUGGAACUCCACGACUUUGCAACCGCCGGCACCAGGGCUGAUUCGCGGUCCUGUGCGGUAAGGUGCCCCGAUGCGCGUCAAGGAUACCGUGCAGUAUUCCGAAGUUGUGUUGUGCGAGCCUCCGCAGGCGGCGAUGGAAGCUGUGAGGUGCCUCUCCCAUCCCUUCCGCGACGUUGGAGAAGACCUGCCCCGCUCGGUCGCAGGUUCCCCUUGCUCUUUUGGAGUUUUGAAUGAGACACAUCUUGGAGGUAUAGGAGCAGCUACCAGCUUCCGCGAAGGGCCAGACCACUUCGCCGGCCCGCGUGAGGACGCAGCUUGCCCGAGUAUCGGGAGGUGUUUCUGUGUAGCGACCGUGUCUAUUUGGCAGGCCGCGAGAACCAGCGGCACAUGCCAUUUCUCACUAUCACGUACAUUGAGGCCCGUUAGACGAGAGUGAUGCGCUGGUUUUCCGCCGCGCAGCCGCCGCGUCUCCUCGGCAUUCGUCACACAACUGCCAGUUGCCGGAGGCACGCUUUCUGCCUGCAAGAAAGGUGUUCGGGGAAGGGGUCGGGUGGGGGUGGGGACUGUAGAAGGGGAGACGCGACAAGCCUGGCAAAAUCCCCGACUGCACUGCAGCGGUGCAGCUGACGCUAUUCCGUGCCGGUCAUAGCGGUGCCCGGGAUCUCUCCACUGUUCGUGGAGGCCCGGUUCUGGAGGUUGUCCACCUUUGUAGCUACCGCUGGGUGAAGAGUCCAUCGACAGUGGAUAGAGCCGUUUGGCUGCUCAUGGCAGUCUUUGAGGGCGCCUCCAUUCUCUACACGAGACAGGCUCUGGUGGCGGUGCACCUUCGCCACUGAGACGGUGGUAAGACGGAUUCGACUUCUGCUCGGUUCGGCGCGCCUGCGAGAAGUCUUUUUAUUUGAAUUUCAUCAUUGACGGCGCCGUGUAUACACGCUUCACCAGCAGGUGAAUGGAGAUGGCCGACUUCCCCAUCUGCGAACAGGUGGUAGAUUUCUUUCUGCUUGGCGACUCCCCGCGACUCACUCUCGCCGAUCUCGCCUGGACAUCAAGUGAGAAGCAUCGUGUUUCUCAGCUGCAUCAGCUACGUUUUGCGUUCGUUAUCGUGCGCUUCUUCCGCAAAGGGGAGGGGCUCGACCGUCUGCGCCAUUGUCAGCCCCGGUGAACGAUGAAUUUGAAAGCGACAAAGGUAGGCGACAUCCCUCAUCUAUGCGCGCACUACCACGCAGAAGGUGCUGGACUGUCGCGGCUGCAGCGCUGUGACGGACCCCUCUCAUCUUGCGCGAAGCGCAGAGGUGGAGGUAGCGUGUCUACGCGACUGCGACGAAUCUGCGCUGGGACCGCUACAGUCCCUCGCCGGCAUUAGCGCCUCGGAGGUGCCAGGUACUCUCGCACAAACCUCCCCGUCAGCGUGCGACCGUUCUCCAUUUGCCCCCCCCCCCCGGAGACCGCGGCAACGCUGUAUGGGUGCCAAUCUCCACGACAGCAAACGAACGCUACCUUCACCCGACGAACCCUGCAUAUCGAGGGGUGGUAAUUCGUGUGCCUCCGCUUCGACAUGCUGUUCAAAGUCCGUCUACCUCAUGACCGAGACAUCUACCUAUCUCCCCGCGUUGGUCAUCUGACUACCCUUCUCCUCGUGUAUGUUUUUGCUCAAAUGCCCGCCGCUCGUCUCCACCCUCUGCCUUCUGCUUCUCUGAUUCUUUUUUUUCCCUCCUCCUCCAAG